GAAAGGACGCUCGAGUGACUUUGACCCGAAACAUACUCAUCACGCUGGUGCGCGGCCUGCACGGCCGGUUCGGCUUCUUGCCGGAAAGCGAGCGGAGGAUUUUUUCCAGCACGGCCUAUAAGCCCGCGUCAGAAGGUUAGAACGUCAAAGCAAGGCGGCUGCCCACGCCCUUCUCAAUUCCGCAGUAAUCAGUAGCGCGCUGGC
rnacentral:misc_RNA from 1 species